UGAUGGGUAAGUUAAUAGUAGACUGAGGGGUUCAUGUCCCCCUAGUGUGGUUGUCCACCCCACCUA
rnacentral:tRNA from 1 species